rnacentral:rRNA from 1 species
CCUACGGGAGGCUGCAGUGAGGAAUAUUGGUCAAUGGCCGAGAGGCUGAACCAGCCAAGUCGCGUGAGGGAAGACGGCCCUACGGGUUGUAAACCUCUUUUGUCGGGGAGCAAAGCGAACCACGUGUGGUUCAUUGAGAGUACCCGAAGAAAAAGCAUCGGCUAACUCCGUGCCAGCAGCCGCGGUAAUACGGAGGAUGCGAGCGUUAUCCGGAUUUAUUGGGUUUAAAGGGUGCGCAGGCGGAGGUGCAAGUCAGCGGUCAAAUUGCGGGGCUCAACCCCGUACUGCCGUUGAAACUGCAUCCAUUGCGUGCGCGAGAAGUAUGCGGAAUGCGUGGUGUAGCGAUGAAAUGCAUAGGUAUCACGCAGAACUCAGAUUGCGAAGGCAGCAUAGCGGCGCGCAACUGACGCUCAUGCACGAAAGCGUGGGUAUCGAACAGGAGUAGAUACCCGUGGAGUC